CUGUAUACAUGCUGCAGAUGAUACACUGUGUCUGCAUCAGACUGUGCUGAGAUUCAGACCUUCACCACAAGUUCCAGUUGUCAGAAGGAAGGAAGAACCUGAGAAGACCUUAAGUGAUCAAUUUGUCAGCUGCCAUCACUGGGGAAGAACCAACUUCAGAGCCUGUGACAGUGUUUUCUGAUGAGCUAUUGGCACAUUAGAGACCUACACGUUCACCUGGGGAGGAGCACACCUGUUCAGUCAACCCGUGUGCAUGAUAACGUAUGAUAAUCGUGCGUCAGUGCUUCUGGGGGCUCUGUCAUUGCACCCAGACUGCUGAGAGAUCCUUCCAUCUGUAAUGCCAAUGCAAGGUCCUACACACAGAAUAAUGUUGGAGCUUAUUUGUUACUCUUUUCACAUACUCCUUUUGGUAAACACAUGAAUGUUGAUUCUCUGCCCACAAGAUAAACCUUCACUGUGGCAGUAAUGGAUGCAGCUUGCAAACAGGAAAGGAGGAAAGUGACAAUAAGUAGCACAAAGAAACCACACUGUGGACUUGGUUGCUGAGUUAGAUGGCCCUCUGAUAUCUGCUGGAAGGAUUUCUUGUGCAUUCAAGAGGAGCAGCAUAAGGUAAGAUGCUG